GGCGAACGGGUGAGUAACACUUGGGUAAUGUACCUCUCUGAGGGGGGACAACUAGGGGAAACUUUAGCUAAUACCGCGUACGCCGAUGAGGACUACGGUCUUUAUCGGGAAAGCCGAAAGGCGCAGAGAGAGCAGCCCGAGUCCUAUUAGCUUGUUGGUAGGGUAAAAGCCUACCAAGGCUACGAUAGGUAGCUGGUCUGAGAGGAUGAUCAGCCACACUGGUACUGGAACACGGACCAG
rnacentral:rRNA from 1 species